rnacentral:rRNA from 1 species
AGAGUUUGAUCCUGGCUCAGAGCGAACGCUGGGGCAGGCCUAACACAUGCAAGUCGAACGGGCCCUUCGGGGUCAGUGGCAGACGGGUGAGUAACGCGUGGGAACGUGCCCAUCGGUUCGGAAUAACCCAGGGAAACUUGGGCUAAUACCGGAUACGUCCUUUUUGGAGAAAGAUUUAUCGCCGAUGGAUCGGCCCGCGUCUGAUUAGCUAGUUGGUGGGGUAAUGGCCCACCAAGGCGACGAUCAGUAGCUGGUCUGAGAGGAUGAUCAGCCACACUGGGGCUGAGACACGGCCCAGACUCCUACGGGAGGCAGCAGUGGGGAAUAUUGGACAAUGGGCGCAAGCCUGAUCCAGCCAUGCCGCGUGAGUGAUGAAGGCCCUAGGGCUGUAAAGCUCUUUCACCCACGACGAUAAUGACGGUAGUGGGAGAAGAAGCCCCGGCUAACUUCGUGCCAGCAGCCGCGGUAAUACGAAGGGGGCUAGCGUUGCUCGGAAUCACUGGGCGUAAAGGGCGCGUAGGCGGACCUUUAAGUCAGGGGUGAAAGCCUGUGGCUCAACCACAGAAUUGCCUUUGAUACUGAGGGUCUCGAGACCGGAAGAGGUUGGUGGAACUGCGAGUGUAGAGGUGAAAUUCGUAGAUAUUCGCAAGAACACCAGUGGCGAAGGCGGCCAACUGGUCCGGUUCUGACGCUGAGGCGCGAAAGCGUGGGGAGCAAACAGGAUUAGAUACCCUCGUAGUCC